CCCACUAAUGCCAGCAUUUGACAAGGUCCCUCCAACAGUAAGAUGCAAGUAAUCUGUCCAAGAUUUUGGUGCCAACCCUUGUUUAAGAGUUUCAUGCAAGAUAUUUAUCCACAGCUCUCCAGCUGAAACAUCCACAUAAGGCUUGAGCUUGACCUUGGAUGGAAUGCCCAUGACCUCUAGCUGCAACCGUCAAGUCCGAUGCAUAUCCCAUUCUGAAAAUAUGGUUUAUCGUGCUUGAAAUAUCGGCGACGGAUUUUGGAUGUAAAACAGCUAAUGGGAGUGAAUGUGCAUAAGUUGAUAUAUCUGAAGAACCAAAAUGAGGAGGAAUUAUUGAGGCUGCAAAUAGGUGGUUAGUACUGUCAGAGUGAAUGGCGGGCUGGCCCCUACUAAGUUUUAUGCUUCUUCAAGCUGAGUGUCUGGGGAGUCAGAUUACUGGGGCCCACUCCAGUUUUUUUUUUCUUCACAAGAGUAUAUAUUGUGCUUUGACAGCUCUUACCAAUGACUUAUACAGUUAUGUCUACAUAAUUUCAACAUUAGUCUUGCAUAUGAUCCAUCAAAAUUCCAAAAGGGAAACAAGUGUUUGAAAAGGAAAGAUGAAAGAUAUAUCAACAUAUAUAAUGAGUGCAUAGCAUCAACAGCAAGAAGAACAAGGGUCUCUGACAUGAACUGUCUCGUGCAUCAAAUUAUUAUUUAUAUUUUUAUUUAAUAAUUUUCAUAUAAUUUUAGUAUUUUUCAACUUGUCUUAUUUAUUAUAAAUUAAGUAGGGCUAUUGUUGUCAUUUUACUAUGAUCUAUGAUGUGGCAUUAGGGUUCUUAUUGGAAGGCUAUCUAAAGUUUUACCUUUAGGUUGUCUGAUCAGUUCUACCAUGAAUUGAAUUUUAACUUUUUGUGCUGUUUUCAAGUUUAGGCACGAGAGCUUAAAUUUUCCAA